rnacentral:rRNA from 1 species
GUGGGGAAUAUUGGACAAUGGGCGAAAGCCUGAUCCAGCAAUGCCGCGUGAGUGAUGAAGGCCCUAGGGUUGUAAAGCUCUUUUACCAGGGAUGAUAAUGACAGUACCUGGAGAAUAAGCUCCGGCUAACUCCGUGCCAGCAGCCGCGGUAAUACGGAGGGAGCUAGCGUUGUUCGGAAUUACUGGGCGUAAAGCGCGCGUAGGCGGUUUUUUAAGUCAGAGGUGAAAGCCCGGGGCUCAACCCCGGAAUUGCCUUUGAAACUGGAAAACUUGAAUCUUGGAGAGGUCAGUGGAAUUCCGAGUGUAGAGGUGAAAUUCGUAGAUAUUCGGAAGAACACCAGUGGCGAAGGCGACUGACUGGACAAGUAUUGACGCUGAGGUGCGAAAGCGUGGGGAGCAAACAGGAUUAGAUACCCGAGUAGUCC